AGCAGCCGCGGUAAUUCCAGCUCCAAUAGCGUAUAUUAAAGUUGUUGCAGUUAAAAAGCUCGUAGUUGAAUUUCGGGAUCAAUAUGUUUGGUCGUGCCUCGGUACGUACUAGCAUAUUGGUUUCUCCUUUCUGAAGAACCAUGAUGUCAUUUAUUUGGUGUCGUGGGGAAUCAGGACUGUUACUUUGAAAAAAUUAGAGUGUUUAAAGCAGGCUCACGCUUGAAUACAUUAGCAUGGAAUAAUGAAAUAGGACGUUUGAUUCUAUUUUGUUGGUUUCUAGGAUCGACGUAAUGAUUAAUAGGGAUAGUUGGGGGCAUUAGUAUUCAAUUGUCAGAGGUGAAAUUCUUGGAUUUAUUGAAGACUAACUACUG
rnacentral:rRNA from 1 species